CGACCUGAGCUCAGGCAAGAUCACCCGCUGAACUUAAGCAUAUCAAUAAGCGGAGGA
rnacentral:rRNA from 1 species